CCCAGGGACGCGGCCCCGCCCCUCGCUUUCCUCGGGCCGGCCGAGCCGGGCCGGGUCGGCCCCCACCCCACCGCCCUUCCAAGCUAGGCUGCGGCGCCGGGAGCGGCAGAUCCCUCCGCCAGCCGGGAGGGAGGGAGACAGCGACGGACCGAGGCAAAGGUGUGGUGAAUCUUCUCGUGCCCUGCAACAGGAGUGUGGGUGCCAUGCCUACUGGACAACUGACCCAUCAGACUUCCUCUCCCAGCAUCCCUGUUACUCCAAUGUCUGCUUCCUACCUUGAGCUUGAGGAAAUGAUGGAAUCUGGCUUAGAUCUCAAAGAACCUUGGAGAACAGAAGGGCACUCAGUUCUUCACACACCCUGAUUUCUAUCUGGCUGGGUCUGAUUUACUGGACAAAGACUCAAUUCUAGGUUAAGGGCUGAAGAGACGAAUAUAUCCCGAAAGAGGCAGCAUGUUAUGGUGAUAAGAGGCAUCAACUUUGGAGUAGUCAAGCUACCUUGGUUCAAAUCCUUAUUCCACCAUUUAUUAACUGGGAACAGAGGCACGUUACUUAACUUCCCUGUACCUCAUGAUCCUCAUGGGUAAAAUAGAGAUUUUGGUAAUAGUACCUAACUCAUAAAUUGGUGUGAAGAUUAAAUUAGUUCAUACAAGUAGAUUGCUUUGAACAGUACCUCAUGCUGCAUUAUAAUAAUUCAAGGGCUGGACUGUCAAGACCCCCUUUAGGCCCAUUAUCUCAUACAAGCAUUAGCGGAGGCAAGUUCAGUGGAAUUGCUUUGCAAAUAGGUUGGAGGCUUAUCUUGUAUGCUUUAAGACAGGAAGCCAGCAAGCUCCUAUUUCCUUGGCCUCAGUUUCCAACUCUUCCACUUGGCCCCUCCUUCACGAAACCUGAUUUAGAGUGUUCCACUUUGUCCCCAAACAUAGCUUCUUAGUUCCUCAUUAGAUUUGAGAGAUGGGGCCCCAGCACCAGAAGAUGUCAGUCUUCCCUACCAGGCAGGGCUAGCUUGCCUGAAGGACCUCAGUGUAGGCAGGGGGAGCCCAUCUGCCCUGUCCCCAAGGACUCUGAGAAGAACAGAGUCUUGUGCCAGGCCUGGGGCUGUGGCAAUAGCAGGAUGGGAAAGUGCCCCCCCUCCCUCAAGUGGGGAACCUCCCCUCACUUGUGGCCUCUAUUUUUAGUGCUUCCCCAGGCUCGAGCUGGAGAAACCGUUUAGUCAUCAGGGUGUUUAUUUUCCGGCUGUUUCCGACGUCGGGAAAGCAGAAUGUUGAGACUGGAGAGAUCCAGGGCUGCUGGAAAAGACUUCUUAGGAACAGGCCUGGGAACUCAGCCUUCAGACCACUGGGUCCCAGAUCACAGGAAAAAAAAGUGGGCAGGGGGGCAGCCAAGCCCCCAGGACACUGAGAAAGCUGGGUUCUCAGCCUGCCUCCAGUUUUGAGGCUCUCAAGCUAGAGACCCUCUGGCCCCAGCUCUAUUGGAAGGAUUCUCUUCAAAACCAUUAGCAGCCCCAGAACAAAUUAUUUCCCAGGGCUGAUUCCCAGAAACCCCCUCCCCAACAUCCUACAGAUCUGAGUGGUGAGCCUCCCGCCAACCACAGCUCCAGCCAAUCUCAAGCCCGAGGUAGGUUUGCCAGGGCUGUGAUUGGCCACCUGGUCCUCCCUGCCUUGGAAUGUUGGGUCCUAAAUAAAGGAAUGAGGAAGGAAGGUAGGUGAGUCACCUAGGAGGGUGUUAAAGGGCCAGGAAGAGCAGGGGGGGAGAAAGGAGGGCAGGGAAAAGCUCAGUGGGGGAGAUGGAGUGUCCUGGACCCUGAGAUGCUGAAAUGAUAAUCCACUAGAAAACAGAGUAGGAAAGAGCAGGAGAGGCUGACAUUACAAGUAGAAUAGAAUUUACAUAUACAUGUAUUUAUAGAGAGAACUUCAUAGGAAAGGAAAAGUAACAAACAUGAGGUCUUGAUUUCCAUGGAGAACUAAGAAAGGAUCUAGGGAGUGUUGCUGGAAGUUAGAUUAUAAUAAAGACUUCCUGAAAAUGACUCACUACAUCUUUUUCUUCUAGCCCCUGGACUACCCAUCCCAGGAUGUGCUAGGUGGAAAAUGCCUAGGCAGGCUCAGAUGGCUGGGUCUCAUUUUUCCUUCUCUCCCUCUGACUACCAACUCAAUCUUUCUUAGAGAAAAGUCAACUAACGUUGCUAUAAAAUCCCCUGUGAGUCGGACAGAUGCCCACCAAAGUCCUAAAAAGUGUGUGUAAACUCCUCAGUACAGUAUAAUCUUCAUCAAUUUAUAUGGCAAAGGGACAUCAAUAGCUUCCUUUAGUCACACCUCCCCAAGCAUCCCUAUCCAACUUAAUUUGGAAAGGUCUUCCUCAUCCACAAGGGCUGCUUCUCUCCUGACUGUUGUUUCAUAACUAUGGGAAGCCAUUACCACUGUUUCAGCCUCUAACUGGCUGCUUGGUUAACCCUCUUGCCUUCUCCACAGUCAUUUGGACAAUCUCCAUCCUCACCUCCAUCCAUGUCAUACUUUCCAUUGGGCUGAUCAUUCUUCCUCCCAGUUUUCCAGUAAUCCCAGCAAAGGCUCCCAAUCUUUCCCAUCUUCCACCUCACUUGUGAGGGGAAGGGCCAUCAGCAUGGGUAAUAUACUGGUGAUCCUUCGACUUGUGUGUCUUCCUGUACCUCUGAUUCUGUAUAGUGUUCUCCACUCUGUGUAUCUACCUCAUCAGUACCCACUGCAUUGUACUGACAUUUUUGGUUUCUAAUUUACUCUCCUUCACUAGAUUUUGAACUCCUUGAGGGCAGCAGUUUAACUCAACUUUGAGUCUUCAGGGCUUUUCAGGGCCUGGCAUGGAAUGUGCUCAGCAAAAGUCUGUUUCAUGAAUCUGUAUAUGUGUUUGUAGCUGUGUAUCUGAGUUAAGACUAUAAAAACGUUAUUGAACACUUCUAA